ACCUCUUAUGUUGUCCCGAAAAUACGUCAGAUCAAGCACAGAAAUUUACUAAAGGCGAAUUUUCAAAAUUAAUGCUGGAUAGAAGCAAUAUGCAUCUCGAUAUUUUGAAAUAUAUUCAAAAUUGUUCAACUACAUUAAAUUAAUGCCAAAAGUAGGAGACCCCGCGAAUAGUUGUGAGGACUAUGCUGAUAAAACUAGGAAUUUUACUUAGGAGCAAAGAUCAUCAAUCCUAAAAUAUUUAUGUGACAAUGUUCAUCCAAUCACCUUGCAACACCUUGAUGUACAUGUACCAAGUCUAAUUCAUGUCACUAUUACAUGCACUUUGAUACACAGACCAUCCAACUUUGAUUCAGGCUUUUUACAUCAUAUGGCUGAUCUAGAUGCUGUUUUAAGAGCACAGUCUGUACUGUUUGUGAUUGAAGAAGAAGUGGAAACAAAGCCAGAAAAUCUGUUGAGUCAUACAGAUAUUCUGUUUAAUAUGUCCCGAAACACAAACUUCAGCGAAGACCUACUUUAGAAAAGAUGCAUGGCAGCUUGUUUUAAAUACUCUCAAAGUAUUAGAAGAUAUGUAUAUUAGUAACACUCAGAAGUAUUAUGAUAAGAUUUCUCCAUGCCAGACAAGAAAAGGCAAAGCUUUAAUAGGUCCAGUUGAAGGAAGAAUAUUCAAAAAGUUUUCAAAAAGGACAUCAGACCAGAUUAAAUCAAAAAAAAGAAGUGUAUAUUCCUUUACAAGUGAGGAAUUUUCUCCAUUAAAAGCUAGGAAAGCUAAGAAAUCCUUUACAAGUGAGGACAGUAUUCCAUUAAAAGGAAAAAGAAGUGUGGACAAUUCUUCAUUAAAAGCUAGGAAAUCCUUUACAAAUGAAGAUAUAGUUUUCCAUUAAAAGCUAGGAAAUCCCUUACAAGUGAAGAUAGUUCUCCAUUAAAAGCUAGGAAAUCCCUUACAAGUGAAGAUAGUUCUCCAUUAAAAGCUAGGAAAUCCCUUACAAGUGAAGAUAGUUCUCCAUUAAAAGCAAUAAAAGGAAUGCCCACCUUCUUAGUUAUAAAAGCAAAAGAAAUGAAAGCUGAAAUUAUAGAGUAUCUGCAGAAUUAUAAGCCAUUUAAAUCAUUGCCAAAAGUUGGAGAUCCUGUUUAACCAUUAUGUUGACAACACUAGAGGCAUAUCUGAGGAAGUGAGAGAUGAAUUAACUUCAUAUCUCAGCUUGACAUAUAAAGACAUUUUCAAUCUAUCUGUCAGUUCUGACAUUCCAUCUAUGAUGCACAACACUAUAUCAUUCAUAAUACAUCAUUCAGGAAACAAAGAUUUAAAUAAUCCAAUAGAUGUUUGCCAAAAUUUAGAAAGGAUCCGUGAAACUACUGGAGAAUAUGAAAGGAUUGGUAAAAAUACUAAAAAGGAUGCAAUUACAGGACUUAUUAAUCAUUCAUCGACAAAAGAUAAAAAAUCAGAAAUAGGCAGAAAAAGAUCAGGAAAUAAGAAAAUAGAUGCAGCAGAAUCCAAGAAGUGUACAGUAAGACUGACUGAUAUUGGUACUAUUAAAAACUUGAAAACAUAUGUAAACAAGACAGAGAAAAAAAGAAAAAGAAGGAAGAUAUGUGUAAAGAACUUGUAAAAAAAAUGUUAAAUGUUAAAGGGGCACUAGCUGUCAAAUUCAUGUUCACCGACUUUACUUAAUUUCUAGUAUUUGAUUUAUAAUAAUGAAUAAUGUUAACAUUUA